rnacentral:rRNA from 1 species
UCGUAACAAGGUUUCCGUAGGUGAACCUGCGGAAGGAUCAUUGUCGAAACCUGCGCAAGCAGACAGACCCGCGAACCCGUUCCUAAACGAGCCGCCUCCCCCCGUCCCUCGGGCCCGGGGGGGAGCGGCGACGAACCCAAACCCGGCGCGGAUUGCGCCAAGGACCACGAACAGCAGCGCUCCCCGGGCGGYCCGGCCCUCCGGAUCCCGCCCGGCGGCGGCGUGUCGUUUCUACUUAACAAAAACGACUCUCGGCAACGGAUAUCUCGGCUCUCGCAUCGAUGAAGAACGUAGCGAAAUGCGAUACUUGGUGUGAAUUGCAGAAUCCCGUGAACCAUCGAGUCUUUGAACGCAAGUUGCGCCCGAAGCCUCCUGGCCGAGGGCACGUCUGUCUGGGCGUCACGCACCGCGUCGCCCCCCCUCCCCCUCUAUAUGGGGAGAAGGGGGCGGAGACUGGCCYCCCGUGCGCCCCCGCGCGCGGCCGGCCUAAACGCAGACCCCGCGGCCGCGAGAAGGCGCGACGACUGGUGGCGUAAACAUGGCAUCGCGUCGCGCCCUCUGCGGCCUCCGGAGGUCGAGGAUCGAGCACGCGGACCUCCCGGUCCACCGUUGCGACCCCAGAUCAGGCGGGACUACCCGCUGAGUUUAAGCAUAUC